AACGUAGGAGGCGAGCGUUAUCCGGAAUUACUGGGCGUAAAGGGCAAGUAGGCGGUGGUAUAAGUCGGGCAUAAAAUCUCUCAGCUCAACUGGGAGGGGUUGUUCGAAACUAUACUACUAGAGGGCAGGAGAGGAAAGCGGAAUUCCCAGUGUAGCAGUGGAAUGCUUAGAUAUUGGGAGGAACACCAGUGGCGAAAGCGGCUUUCUGGUCUGCACCUGACGCUGAGAGGCGAAAGCUAGGGGAGCGAACGGGCUUAGAUACCCCGGUAGUCCUAGCUGUAAACGUUGGAUACUGGGUAUUGGGGGGCUACAAUCCCUCAGUGCCGAAGCAAACGCGUUAAGUAUCCCGCCUGGGGACUACGGCCGCAAGGUUAAA
rnacentral:rRNA from 1 species